rnacentral:rRNA from 1 species
GUGUCAGCAGCCGCGGUAAGACGAACCGUGCGAACGUUAUUCGGAAUCAUUGGGCUUAAAGCGCGUGUAGGCGGAUGGGAACGUCGGUCGUUGAAAGCCCCCGGCUCAACCGGGGAAUUGGCACCGAAACGACCCGUCUGGAGGGGCAUAGGGGGAUCUGGAACUUCCGGUGGAGCGGUGAAAUGCGUUGAGAUCGGAAGGAACGCCCGUGGCGAAAGCGAGAUCCUGGAUGUCUUCUGACGCUGAGACGCGAAAGCUAGGGUAGCGAACGGGAUUAGAAACCCCCGUAGUCC